AACUAAGUUUGUUCUUGGUAUAAGCUUUUGUGUGCAUGCACACUUCUUCAGCUAACUGGUAUCUGAAGAAGUGUGCAUGCACACGAAAGUUUAUACCAAAAACAAGCAGUUGGUC
rnacentral:miRNA from 1 species